ACGAAAUGAAAAGUCAAUCUUCGAAAUCGAACGCGUCUACAUGUUUAAUCUUGUCUUCAUCAUCAUCUAAAGGAAGUAAAAAAUGGAGAUUCAAAGAUUUUUUCUUGUUUAGGAGUGCAUCCGAAGGAAGAGCAUCAGAUAAAGAUCCAUUAAAGAAAUAUACAGCUGCUGGUUACAGAGAAGGCAAAAAUUCGACUUCUCGGGGAAAUGAAAGCUCUGUUUCUUCUCCAUCAAAAUCAAUUGUUAGAACAAAAAAGGGAAAAGUUUCAGCUCAUGAAUUG
rnacentral:misc_RNA from 1 species